UACCCGCUGGAACUUAAGCAUAUCAAUAAGCGGAGGAAAAGAAACCAACCGGGAUUGCCUCAGUAACGGCGAGUGAAGCGGCAAGAGCUCAAAUUUGAAAGCUGGCUCCUUCGGAGUCCGCAUUGUAAUUUGCAGAGGAUGCUUUGGGUGCGGCCCCCGUCUAAGUGCCCUGGAACGGGCCGUCAGAGAGGGUGAGAAUCCCGUCUUGGGCGGGGUGUCCGUGCCCGUGUAAAGCUCCUUCGACGAGUCGAGUUGUUUGGGAAUGCAGCUCUAAAUGGGUGGUAAAUUUCAUCUAAAGCUAAAUACUGGCCGGAGACCGAUAGCGCACAAGUAGAGUGAUCGAAAGAUGAAAAGCACUUUGAAAAGAGAGUUAAACAGCACGUGAAAUUGUUGAAAGGGAAGCGCUUGCGACCAGACUCGCCCGCGGGGUUCAGCCGGCAUUCGUGCCGGUGUACUUCCCCGUGGGCGGGCCAGCGUCGGUUUGGGCGGCCGGUCAAAGGCCCCUGGAAUGUAGUACCCUCCGGGGUACCUUAUAGCCAGGGGUGCAAUGCGGCCAGCCUGGACCGAGGAACGCGCUUCGGCACGGACGCUGCAUAAUG
rnacentral:rRNA from 1 species